rnacentral:rRNA from 1 species
CCUACGGGGGGCUGCAGUAGGGAAUCUUCCGCAAUGGACGAAAGUCUGACGGAGCAACGCCGCGUGAGCGAAGAAGGUCUUCGGAUCGUAAAGCUCUGUUGUCGGGGAAGAACAAGUACGGUAGGAAAUGGCGGUACCUUGACGGUACCCGACGAGAAAGCCACGGCAAACUACGGGCCAGCAGCCGCGGCAGGACGUAGGGGGCAUACGGUGUGCGGAAUUAGUGGGCGAAAAGGGCGGGCAGGCGGUCCUUUAAGGCUGGAGUGAAAAGUUGCGGCUCAACCGCAAGCGGUCAUUGGAAACUGGGGGGCUUGAGUGCAGAAGAGGAGAGCGGAAUUCCACGUGUAGCGGUGAAAUGCGUAGAGAUGGGGAGGAACACCGGUGGCGAAGGCGGCUUUCUGGUCUGUAACUGACGCUGAGGCGCGAAAGCGUGGGGAGCAAACAGGAUUAGAUACCCUUGUAGUC